rnacentral:rRNA from 1 species
UACGUAGGAUGCAAGCGUUGUCCGGAAUUAUUGGGCGUAAAGAGCGCGCAGGCGGUUUGCCAAGUCAGAUGUGAAAGAGGCCGGCUUAACCGGCAAGGGUCAUUUGAAACUGACAGACUAGAGUGCAGCAGAGGAUAGCGGAAUUCCCGGUGUAGUGGUGAAAUGCGUAGAUAUUCGCAAGAACACCAGUGGCGAAGGCGGCUCACUGGCCCGGUACUGACGCUGAGGUGCGAAAGCGUGGGGAGCAAACAGG